CCUACGGGAGGCAGCAGUGAGGAAUAUUGGUCAAUGGACGAGAGUCUGAACCAGCCAAGUAGCGUGAAGGAUGACUGCCCUAUGGGUUGUAAACUCCUUUUAUAUGGGAAUAAACUGUUCCACGAGUGGGAUUUUGUAUGUACCAUAUGAAUAAGGAACGGCUAACCCCGUGCCAGCAGCCGCGGUAAUACGGAGGAUCCGAGCGUUAUCCGGAUUUAUUGGGUUUAAAGGGAGCGUAGGUGGAUUGUUAAGUCAGUUGUGAAAGUUUGCGGCUCAACCGUAAAAUUGCAGUUGAAACUGGCAGUCUAGAGUACAGUAGAGGUGGGCAGAAUUCGUGGUGUAGCGGUGAAAUGCGUAGAUAUCACGAAGAACACCGAUGGCGAAGGCAGCUCACUGGACUGAAACUGACACUGAGGCUCGAAAGUGUGGGGAUCAAACAGGAUUAGAUACCCUAGUAGUC
rnacentral:rRNA from 1 species